GGCUCAGUAACAAGUAGUCAAUCUGCCCUAAGGACGGGAGCAACCUCGGGAAACUGAGGUCAAUUCCCGAUGGCCCAUCUAUGCUGGAAUGCUUGAUGGGCAAAAUGGCGCGCGAAUUGGAGCGCGUCCGCCUUAGGAUGAGACUGCUCCUGAUUAGGUAGUUGGUGAGGUAACGGCUCACCAAGCCGAUAAUCAGUAGGGGCAAUGGGAGUUGUCGCCCCGAGAAGGACACUGAGACAAGGGUCCUAGUCCUACGGGAUGCAGCAGGCGCGAAACCU
rnacentral:rRNA from 1 species